UCCAGGUACACAUGCAUACGGCGAACAUAACCUCCAUAUUUAUUAUUUAUGUUCAGUGUCGAUCAAAAAUUUCUCUGACUCAUAGUCAAUUAUAAUUUGGUAUUAUUAGUUUUUUUUUUAUUCCAAAACGUGUGAAAUAGAAAUUAUUCUGUAAAAAUAUAUUUUGAGGUAUAUAAAUGUUGGGUUUGAUAUAACAAAAAAGUGUGAUGCUUGUCCUUCGUGGAAUUCAAAAUACAAAUUCCUUUAUUUUAUUGGGUGGCCUUCUUCUAUGUCUUGUUUUAACAAUUCAAAUUAAACAAAUUUAUACCAAUAAUCAAAAGUAUAAUCGUUAUUUAGGAUACGAACAAUAUAUCAAUGAAAUAUCCCAAGAAUUGAAGACUGUUGAAAAAACUGCUAAUAAAUCAUCGAUAUAUGUUCAUCACUUAAAUGAAAUACUUUUUAAACAUCGUGAAAAAGAUAUGAAAAAUGCUUCACUGUCACGAAUAGCAAAAUUAAUGCGAGGGGAAACAAGCUGAAAUAGAUCUGAGAGAUGUAACAAAAUUUUUUAAUAUAUUUAUAUAUUUGUAAAUAUGUAUAUAUAUAAAUAUAAAAAGAGGAAAUAAACUUCCUAUCUUAUCAGAUUAUAUUAUUUAGGAUAUAACAAAAUUAAUGAGUAAAAAAAAGAUUAUAUCUCCUAAUCUAUAUUAUAUAAGGGCAUACACUGUGGAUUAUUUACAUGAUUACCAGUAUUUUGUAAGACUCCAUGUGGAACACAUAACCAUGGAUCAUUAGUAACUUUUUGCCAAUUGAAUAAUUGUUUUUGUAAAUCAAUCACUAUGUUCUGCAACAAAAUUUUCUCAGUUAACAUUUUUGUUUAAUAAUAUAGAUGGAUACUUUACUUUAUUUUACCUUCAUUGAUGGCUUUGAAAAUAUAUUGUUUCUCUCUUCAGGAUCAUAUUUUAAAUUAUAUAGUUCCCAUUCUGGUCUUUGAUAAUAUGACUUUAAUGUUUUAUACCAUGGAAGAGGUUGUUUAUUAUAUGUUCUGUUUAGGAGAUCCUUAUAUAAAAAAAAAAUAAAUUGCAUUAAUUAAAUAAUGAAAAUUAUAUUUCCAGUAGUCUAUGAUAAAUCUAUAACUUGUUAUAGAAAUUACCUCAAAGGUUGGAGAUACAUAUAAAUCCUGAUCGAUUGGGAAGGGCAUUUUAUAAUUCAAAUUAUGUAUUAAUUUAUAGCGUUUAGUUCUAAUUACACGCAUAGGAUAGUACAUAGUAACUUCAUGAUGAGUUUGACUAGCAAAAAUUGAUCUCUCUUCCUGUGGCUCUGUAUAUAUAUAUAUAAAUAUAUUUAUAAUAAAACUUAUAUAAUAUAUACCUUUUAUAUUUACCUUUAGUAAGGAGUGGAAGAAGAGAUCUGCCUGUAAGAUUUGGUAGAAAAACUUCAUUUUUAUUCAGUGCUUCAUUUUCAUAAGAUAUAUUAUACCAAUCUAACAAAGUAGGUACUACAUCCAGUAGGGAUGUCAUAGCAUAUGUUACUUGAUUUCUUCGUUCUUUAUGGAUUGGUGAUGAAAUCAUCAUAGGUUCUGCCAUACCUUAUAUCAGAUGGAAAAAUGAAUAAAAUGAAUUUUUUAAUUGA